CAACACCAACAAGAAGAAGAAGUUUAGUUUCACUCCGCUCUCUGUUGUUUUAUCGUGAUGCUGGCUUAAUACAAACUGUUAGAAAUGUUGUUUCUGUAAACAGAGAAAUACAGUUUUUGAAUCAGGUCAAUAAAUACA